rnacentral:lncRNA from 1 species
AGAGUAUACAAUCCAAAAUCUCAGCAAAAAGGAGAAGAGAUCACAACUAAAGUAUCUGGUCCAAACAGUAAAUAUACAUCACGGGUAUACAAAAAUAAAUAGGUACAACGGUGGUCUCUCUAUACAUAGGGACAUCACCCUCGGCCGUAGCCCGAGUAGCAAGGUGAUUGACUAGCACGCUCCUAGUAGUCCCUAGCUAGGCGCGACUCCCUUGCCACGAUCCCUAGCCUCUCCUGUAACAGGCUCUGUAAAAACAACCACCAAAAGGGCGUGAGAACUAUUAACAAUAGUUCCCAGUGGGUAAGCCGCCAGCCUCGGCGAAUUACACCACUAGGCUCAAGAUGUACUGAAUGGAAAUAAAAGCAGUAAUUUGCAUGAUAUAUUUUCAAUGCUAAUAAUUCAUAAGCCAAUGUUAACAAAUAAUGAAUAUGUAACAACAUGUGAUCAUAGCAUCAACAGUAAUGAAUCAACUGAAUAAUAGAAGCAUGGCUACUACUAUAAGCAUAAAUAUAGCAUAAGUGUGUAAGUAACUACUGUACACUGUAACUGGUAAUCAUUCAUUACUGUUCAAUAUCCUUUAGCACUUUCCUUUCAUUCACAGGGAUCUACUCAAGGUAGUCCAGCUUGCGCCGCGCCUAAUGGCCCCGUGGUAGUAUACACUCCCCACGGCAAUCCACUUCGGCACCCAAUCCCGCACGGGCGAGCAACUGUCGCGUAGGCCAACUCCGGAGUGCCGGCUUGUAGGGAGCUACCCUCACAAGCGUGUGCGAAUGAGCACAAUGGCAAGCAAGCGUAUUCCACAGUUCACAUGCCUCGAAUAUCAUAAUUUCAUUUGCAAUGUUCUUACCCUCGAUUCUCUGAUCGGAAUUUCAAUUCACAAAGAGUAACAAGAACUAGUGUCCACUAGAUUGUAAACAUGUAAGAGUAAUGCUAAAUCACAUGGCAUUAUAAUCUUUCCANNNNNNNNNNNNNNNNNNNNNNNNNAUGAAAUGUAACGCCUUACUAACUUUCGGAUGUCCGUUGUCGGCGCCAACGUGACCCUCUGCAAAGGUUAGUACUUGCACAUCCCGAUCAAAACUCCUACUAUUCGGCGAGUUUAUAAGUACCAAGUCAAAGUACUUCCGCUAACAACAACCGUCGACUAGACAUCUCUCUCCGAGCCUAUCUUAUUAGUCCAACCAGCCUAAGGUUUGCAAAGGUCUACUAAGACUCAACCCUAGCUCUGAUACCACUAUAAUCUGUCACGCCCGAAGGUACCAGCGGAAGCGAUAUCCGGCACGUGCACAGACCCGCCAUUACACCUACAGUAUUAGGCGUCUACAAGAACACAGUCGCAUAGGAAGUAAAAACAAAGAAAGUCCUAUCCUGAUAUCAGAGCAAAUACAAGUCAAAAUUACUAUCAACAAAGAAGGGCAAGAGUAUACAAUCCAAAUAUCUCAGCAAAAAGGAGAAGAGAUCACAACUAAAGUAUCUGGUACCAACAGUAAAUAUACCAUCACGGCGUAUACAAAAAUAAAAUAGAUACAGGGUGGUCUCUCAUUAAUACAUAGGCCCGACAUCACCCGUCGGCCGUUCUAGCCCGAGUAGCAAGGUGAUUGAUAGCACGCUCAUAAAUAAAGUUCCAAGCUAGAAGCGACCUCCCUUGCCACGAUCCUAGCCAUCUACCUGUAACAGGCUCUGUAAAAAC